rnacentral:rRNA from 1 species
AGAGUUUGAUCCUGGCUCAGAAUGAACGCUGGCGGCGUGCUUAACACAUGCAAGUCGUGCGCGAAGGAGGCUUCGGUCUCCGGAGAGCGGCGAACGGGUGAGUAACACGUGGGUAAUCUGCCUGGGAGCGUGGGAUAACCUGGGGAAACUCGGGCUAAUACCGCGUACGUUGAUGGGGCUUCGGUUCUGUCAAGAAAGCUGGCCUCUAUUUAUAAGCUAGCGCUCCCAGAGGAGCCCGCGGCUGAUUAGCUAGUUGGUGAGGUAAUGGCUCACCAAGGCGACGAUCAGUAGCCGGCCUGAGAGGGUGAUCGGCCACACUGGGACUGAGACACGGCCCAGACUCCUACGGGAGGCAGCAGUGGGGAAUAUUGGACAAUGGGCGCAAGCCUGAUCCAGCAACGCCGCGUGGAGGAUGAAGGUCUUCGGAUCGUAAACUCCUGUCAGAUGGGACGAAGACUUGGAGGCAAAUAGUUUCCAAGUUUGACGGUACCAUCAGAGGAAGCCCCGGCUAACUCCGUGCCAGCAGCCGCGGUAAUACGGAGGGGGCGAGCGUUAUUCGGAAUUAUUGGGCGUAAAGGGCGCGUAGGCGGCCCGGUAAGUCAAAGGUGAAAUCCCUCGGCUCAACUGAGGAACUGCCUUUGAAACUGUCGGGCUUGAGGCGGGAGAGGAGUGGAAUUCCCAGUGUAGCGGUGAAAUGCGUAGAUAUUGGGAGGAACACCAGUGGCGAAGGCGGCUACCUGGACCGGUUCUGACGCUGAGGCGCGAAAGCGUGGGUAGCAAACAGGAUUAGAUACCCUAGUAGUCC